rnacentral:rRNA from 1 species
CCUACGGGAGGCAGCAGUGGGGAAUCUUGCGCAAUGGGCGAAAGCCUGACGCAGCCAUGCCGCGUGAAUGAUGAAGGUCUUAGGAUUGUAAAAUUCUUUCACCGGGGACGAUAAUGACGGUACCCGGAGAAGAAGCCCCGGCUAACUUCGUGCCAGCAGCCGCGGUAAUACGAAGGGGGCUAGCGUUGCUCGGAAUUACUGGGCGUAAAGGGAGCGUAGGCGGAUAGUUUAGUCAGAGGUGAAAGCCCAGGGCUCAACCUUGGAAUUGCCUUUGAUACUGGCUAUCUUGAGUUUGGGAGAGGUGAGUGGAACUCCGAGUGUAGAGGUGAAAUUCGUAGAUAUUCGGAAGAACACCAGUGGCGAAGGCGACUCACUGGCCCAAUACUGACGCUGAGGCUCGAAAGCGUGGGGAGCAAACAGGAUUAGAUACCCUGGUAGUCCACGCCGUAAACGAUGAGUGCUAGUUGUCGGGCAUGCAUGCAUGUCGGUGGUACGCGACGCGUAACGACAUUAAGUACACUCCGCCGUCGGGGAGGUACGGUCGGCGAAGAAUUAAAACGUUAAAAGGUAAAGUUAGACGGCGUGAGACGUGCCGACGACGACGACGAGGGAGGUAGG